UAAAUCAAACUAUCAUAGAGAAUUCAGUUGAGUUUAGAUUUCAACCGAGCAACAGGAAUAUUCUAAAAAUGUUCUCAAACGGAUUCCACAUUCUUUUGGGGUGCGCCGCUGUGAUCUUCUGCAUUUCCAUCGUCUGGAAGAUGACCGAACCGAAAAAUGAAAUCGAUGUUAUUGAUUCAAAUAUGAUACUGAAGAAGGCCAAGCACAUAAUGUGUGAGACUUUGAACUACUUUUGGGAGGAUCAGUGUCCAAAGGCACCGGAAACCUGGUUCGAGCGCCACAUCGUUGGAAAGUUUCGAAUGCUGUUUUAUAAGGAAAAUUAAUAUUUUAUUACAAGUCAAUUCACAAAUCCCCGAAAAAUCUACAAUCAACAUUACACAAGGACAAUUAAACAGAAUAAAAUCCUGAUGCUCAACUCAACAAAGUCAUACUUUUCCAAUUUCUGGCGGCAUAAUUAAAUGGAAAUGACAAAGGAUUAGCGCGUGGUCUGAUUGCAUGCGGAUCAUAUAAGGGGAUUAGCAGAAAUGUCAAAAUUGCUCAAUUUGAUUAUGCCACCGAACACCAUUUAAGCCAUGCUGAUGGCCAUGCUAUUUUAUUUGAUUACAUUGUUGCCGUCAGCUAUAGCUAUGCUAUUAUUUAAUUGCUUUUUUUUCCAACUGCUAAUAGAUUUUGAAUAUACAAAUAGCAUAAAUUAAUAACUUAACAGCAAGAGGUUCUUAGAAGGAGGACUACAAAGGCUAAAAACGCACAGGUUCAUGGUUGGACCAACAGAAAUCCCACAUUUCCCCUUAAACACAGCACUAAAAAUUGUUUAAUUUCUGACUUUCAUUAAAUAUCUGACAAGUCAAAUUUUAGUUUAAAAUUCCCACUGAAUAUAUUCUACGGCUAGAACAUCAAGCCAGAGCACCAAUUAAAAUGUGCCCCAUUAUGCGUUGCCACUGACUGCCUGAAAGAUACAAACUUUUAAAUGGGAAUAAAAUUUUGCGCAGAUUUAUUUGAAAUUUCAUUUUCUAUUUUGGGGCGGACACGGUGCAAAUAUGGAGCUUACGUGCGGCAGAUGCAAGCAAAUGCAAAAUUGGUAGCUAAAAAUGGAAAUGAAAUUCCACAAACUGUCUGGCUGUGGAGCGACGGUCCGGAUUGCCGCUAGCUAAACAAAUAUGCCAGUGCCCGGGGCCAGGGCAAAUAGAACUAGCCCGGAGCGCAGUCAGUCGGACAUGGAAACCCGAUGAAAAUUUGCAUAUCAGACGGCAACCAGAGGUGCUACUCGUACCUUAUUUGACCAUUUAUUGUUGCAUUAUAGGCUGGAGCUCUGGCCUAAAGCCUGGCUUUUGCCUCUUUCGUAGUUUCUUUUUUGCUGAUAAUUACACGGUAAAUUUGGCAAAGUGUGACGCCAAAUAGCAAACAAGAUGCCAGUGAAGACGACUGAAACAAGUUGCACGUACAUCUGUAUGUGUAUAUGUAUGUAUUCGUGCCUACGCACACUGGCAGUGGCAGAAACAGAUAGACGCACGCUUUGUGCCACAGUUAC